rnacentral:rRNA from 1 species
GCUACUGGACCUAGCGGCGGACGGGAGAGUAAUGCUUAGGAAUCUGCCUAUUAGUGGGGGACAACAUCUCGAAAGGGAUGCUAAUACCGCAUACGUCCUACGGGAGAAAGCAGGGGAUCUUCGGACCUUGCGCUAAUAGAUGAGCCUAAGUCGGAUUAGCUAGUUGGUGGGGUAAAGGCCUACCAAGGCGACGAUCUGUAGCGGGUCUGAGAGGAUGAUCCGCCACACUGGGACUGAGACACGGCCCAGACUCCUACGGGAGGCAGCAGUGGGGAAUAUUGGACAAUGGGGGGAACCCUGAUCCAGCCAUGCCGCGUGUGUGAAGAAGGCCUUAUGGUUGUAAAGCACUUUAAGCGAGGAGGAGGCUACUUUAGUUAAUACCUAGAGAUAGUGGACGUUACUCGCAGAAUAAGCACCGGCUAACUCUGUGCCAGCAGCCGCGGUAAUACAGAGGGUGCGAGCGUUAAUCGGAUUUACUGGGCGUAAAGCGUGCGUAGGCGGCUUAUUAAGUCGGAUGUGAAAUCCCCGAGCUUAACUUGGGAAUUGCAUUCGAUACUGGUGAGCUAGAGUAUGGGAGAGGAUGGUAGAAUUCCAGGUGUAGCGGUGAAAUGCGUAGAGAUCUGGAGGAAUACCGAUGGCGAAAGCAGCCAUCUGGCCUAAUACUGACGCUGAGGUACGAAAGCAUGGGGAGCAAACAGGAUUAGAUACCCUGGUAGUCCAUGCCGUAACGAUGUCUACUAGCCGUUGGGGCCUUUGAGGCUUUAGUGGCGCAGCUACGCGAUAGUAGACCGCCUGGGGGAGUACGGUCGCAGACUAAAACUCAAAUGAAUUGACGGGGCCCGC